ACUUAAACUUUCGCCUCCAAACUAGCAGUUGCAGGGUACAACAGUGAUGGUUUUAUAUCAGAUUUCCCCCCCUGUUUAAUAGAGUAUAAGAUUUGAAAAUUCUGUCCACAAAAUUGAUAUCGUUUAAUUGUUUUCAAAAAGAAUAAAAAGCUAGAAGCUGGGAUAUCGUCUAUGAAUAACAGGAAAAAGAUUGAUUAUAACUCCAAACAGAUUUCACACCCCUUAUUCAACGAUUAGUUCGUCGUAUUGUUGCUUCAUCUUCAAUUUUUCCGACGAUUUCUCCGGCGAUUGCAAAAACCCUAAAAGAGUAAUCUACAGACCUAGAAGCCGAACAUUUACAAAUAGUGGAAUAAAAUUUUUUAAAUGGAUUUGAAAAAGAGAAGAAAUAAAGAGGUAAAACAGGAGUAAGAUUUACAUAAAGCUCCACAAACCAGCACAUGAGCUAAAGGGCGGCGAAGAAAAGAGAUAACGAAUCAAAAUGGUGGUGACAGUGGCCUCACUAGUCCAAAUGUCAUAUAUUAAGGGGCCUCAUACAACUAUGACGUGGCAGUGUUAGACACAAAGUAAAAUUUCUCAAAAUUCAUAUAUUCCAGCGAGUUCGACAAUUUUUCUCAUUCUCCCACUCCAUUUGUCAUUCGGUUUUGGGUAUCAAUUCCCCACAUUUCUCCCUUUUUGGUUUCUAAAGUUCUAGCCUAGAGCCUUGUUUCAUUUGUUAGUUCUGAUAAGUUUUCGCCUACUCUUUUCUUUAUUGCACUGAUUUUUGCCCAUCGCUUCUGGAUUCUCUUUGAAGGAUAAAGCCAACGAGCCUUUGGAGGGACUGAGAAAACUUUUACCGUACUCAAGGAAUAUUUAUGUUUCCUUGAAAAGGUACAUUUUACUCAUAAGAGGCGCAGGUUCUCCUUUAUCUUUCUAUAUCCUUAUAGCUUAAUGGUCCAUCUCUGUCAUAACCUUUGUUUUACUGUUGAUGCUGCUAACAAUUAGGAAGUUAUAUGCAACUAAAUCUUUCUUGCAGGGAAACAUAAGCACUUAUUGGUGGAAGCGAUCUGCAGCAAUUUUUUCAGUUAAAAGUUUCUUAUGAUAUCUAUUCUUCUUAGUACAUAACCUUGGUAGAAUCUUUUUUUAGUGUUGUGACUUGUGACCCUGUCAAGGUCGAGGGUACUUAAAUAUAGAAACCAAACUGAUUUAAUUUCUCGCUUUAUCGUGCUAUUACUUACUGCUGAAAUUUUGCUAUAGGCAUCUGCUCAGUUGAAAAAAAAAUUGUGCGAGAUAUUGUUGUCCGUUUGCCUACAAUUAACUAGGCAUUUUGUAGUUAUCAUGACUCAUAAGCAUUUUGUAGUUAUCAUGACUCAUAAGCAUACAUGGGACUAAUCAAUUUGAAUCUUUUGAUGUUCAAAAUCUGAAGAUAUCUUAAGUCUUAAAGAUUUAUGGAGAAAUAUAAUUUGAAGAUACUAUAAUCAAAAGCAUUGCAUCUGAAACUGUUUCAGAAUCUUUGCUAUCCUGGUAAUUGAGUAGUGAGAUGAAAGCUUAUUAAGGAGAUUGAGACUUAGGAAUACAUCCUGAGCAUUGCGCCCGAUAUCUCCUUUGAGAGGAUUAGAAAGAUCUUGAAAUGACAAUACUUAAUUCCUUGAGUUGCUUUCAAGAAGAUAUUUAGCUACCUUAGUUUUCAAACUGAACGGGAAAUAGACCUUCAUUCGUAGGUUUCCUUUAAAUACAAUAAUUUUCAAAAAUAUUUAAACUAAUCUGCUGGCUACUUGGAACUGGUUGAUCUCCUCUUGCAUUAUGCUCAAGGCAUAUGCGUUUUAAUUUUGUUGCUUUCAAAGUUAUAAGUACUUCUGAAAAUUUUUAUAUUGAUUUUUAGAAAACUAUUUUCUUGACAAUCUUGGGCGUUUAGCUAUUUUUGAUAUGGAAACGUAAUAAAAUCGCUCGGUCUAAUGCCAACUAAGUUCCAAAAUUUGUUAAAACCAUCUGUCACUGUUAUUUAGAAUUUAGAGAAUUUGAAUCUUUAUGCAGAUGAGAUAUUUCUGACACUUGUGAAUUAGUGGAGUUGAAGAUGGUUUUAUUUUGUGAAUUGGUUAAUAUUGGUAAAAUAUUUGGAGUUGAAGAUGGUUUUAUUUUGUGAAUUGGUUAAUAUUGGUAAAAUAUUUGGAGUUGAAGAUGGUUUUAUUUUGUGAAUUGGUUAAUAUUGGUAAAAUAUUAGAACUAUGUAUUGUUUUCUAGACCUGGAUAACUGAGAGCUGCUAUUUGUUUUCAGGCCAGCUUACUCUUCCCUUCAAUAAUUGAUAUUAUUUAAUUCUUUCACUACCUACACAAGGUUUAACUGUGUUCUACAGAGGCAUGGUGAGUUUCAUUUUACGAAGUUUUUUAUGUUUCCUUUUUAAUAUUAUUUUUUGACAAAAUAUGUUUUCAUCACAUGCUUCUUUCUUUUCCCCUGCUUUCUACGUAAUAUAAUAUUACGUUUGUUUCUAUUUCUUCAAGAUCAUUGUUGUUGUUAUUUAUGCUAUAAUUUGUGUUGUCCUCCCUAAAUUCUUGAGUUCCUUACGUCUGUCCAUAGUAUCGAAAUACAAGUUAAUUGUAGUCCUACUAAGGAAAGAAAAAAUGUAGGAGAUGUAAUAGGAAUUACUAUGAACUCGACUUAUCCUUUGAUAAUAUAUGCUGACCAGUUGCAUAUUCAUUGUUUGGGAAGUAGUUAAAUGUGUUUCCAUGGUUUCAUGCUUAACUUAGAUAUUCAAGAUUCAUGAAUGUUUUUACUAUAUUUGUGUCGUUUGACAGGAAAAUAUCUAUGAAAAGAUUGUAACUUCAAGAAAGAGACCUUACUGUUAAGGCUAAAGCCCUUCUUUCAUAAUUUAAUGAAACAGCCUAAGGUGAGGAUCCAAGACUUAUGGUACAGAAAUACCUUUAGAUUUUAGAGAGACAAAAAUGUUUCGAUCUUGAUGAUCAUAUCUAUCAGCAAAUAUCAGAGAGGUAGUAUUUCUACUAUAUAUAAGUGAAUAAGGUGUACGAACACAACUUCAAAAAGUUGUACAAAAAACACCCUAAAUUGUACGAUAACUUGGGCCAAACACUACUGUAACAUGGCUCUUUCAUGCUGACACAUGUUAACAAGUGAGACAUCUGGCUUGGAACGCUAUUGGAACUUGCGAUGAUACCCAUUUUCUCUUCGUUUCUCUCAUUCUUAUUUCUCACUCUGUCAUUCUUAUUUCUUGUCAUUCUUAUUUCUCACUCUGUCAUUCUUCUCUCUUUUCUCCUCUUUCUCAUUAUCAUUUCUGUAAUUUUCUGUUUGUGGGUCUCAAAUUUCAUUGCCUUUUUCCUCUGGUGUUCAUCUUAGCUCUUCAAUUUCUUCUGCUCCUCUCUCGGAGAAGCUUACUGUGCAGUCUAAAAUUUCUGCUGCCUUUGAUUUUUUCCAAUUUUCCACAAAUUUGGCCAGCAUUAUAGAAAUUUUUGUGGCUUUGGUUCUUUUGUGAACCGUCUGCACAUGCAUAUGAAGUUGAGCAAGAGAGGAAGUAAGUUGAGCAAGAGAGGAAGUAAGUCUCCAUCUUGAACGACUCCUUUUCUCUUUGUCUUAUAAAUCUUAUGCAUUUGUUUUGAUUACUCCUACUUUUGGCUUUGAAUUCUGAAUUCAUUUCAAUAUUACUACAUUUUGGUUCCGUGGAGAUUUUCGAUUUUGCAUAGUGUUUAUUUGUUAUUUCUCGAUGGGCAUGUAAACAUGUGAUUCAAUUUUUUUUUUAAAAGAAUAUUGAUUUAUAAUCUUCAUUCUGCCUGAAAUUUUCCUUGCAUUUUGCUUUAUUUUUUAUUUUUAGUAUAAUGUGUAUAGUUUUUCUUAUUUGAUUUAUAUAUGCUCUUUACUCUUAUCGCGUUUUCUAAGUGGAUUUUGUACAUGCAUGUGGUUGGUUCUUCCAACUCUUAUAUGGAAGUACAAUGAAUUCACCCUCAGGAAGAGAAAAUAGUAUAAUACUUAAUAAAAAGGGAAGAACUUUGAUGCAUCAAAGAUGUUUGGCGAUAGUAUUGAGUAAUUCUGUUCCUUUUUCCGUAGGUGUUCUAUGGUGUAAAGAUCUAUCAUCCAACAACCCCAAUAGUAGAUUACUUACUUCUACUGGACAGAACUACUGAAUAAUAUAAUAUGCAUUAUAUUUGAAAAAGGAUUGAAAAAGGUAAUUUGUUUUUUCGUCGGGCAAUAAAUAUGUACAGACUCUUACAUUUACUGUAAGUUUGUGCUACUCUCUUUCUAAGCUUCCACUUUGCACUUUGGAUUUCUCAUUCUUCUUAUUUGUUAGGAAGAAACAUGCAAUGUUUUCAUUUCAUUUGGACAAUUUUUUAUUUGAUUGAAAUUGAAAGAAGUUGUCUUGGCUAGCUUCUUUUCAUAUGUUUGGUGGUGAAAAUAAUAAGUGCAAAAGGUUGCACAGUACUCUACUGUGAGCUAUAAGGGCAUUGUUGAGAAAAUAAUAUUCUUUCAAUUAAUUUAUUGCAACAGUUUUCCAGUAAGAAAAUGAAUCAGAAAUUACCCCCAUCCAUGAACUAUGACCGCACAUUUUUUUCCCAGCUUCAAUGCACUUCCAUUUACUUAGUUAAACAAUACCUUUCUACAAAUAUUUAAGAAACUUAAACAGAGUAACUUGAGCUCUGCCGCCAACACCCCAUAAUUGAACCUAAUAAAUACAAUCCCGCAGUCGAAACAAGGUAAAUACUACUUUAAGCUGAUACUGCCAAAUCCAAACAAGUUUCUCCCUUCUUUCAUAUGUUGAUUUUUGUAGUAUUUUAUAAGAUAUGAAAAUUGAUCCAGGAGUCCCAUGUCACAUCUUAUGAUGAUUCGGUACAUUAGACGUCUUAUAAUUUUUUUGCAUUUGGAGUAUUGUACUCGCAAAGAAACUGAAUACAACUUGGAAAUAUUUUUUGGUGUAUGUGCUUUUUGGAAUGCAGAGAUGUUUCGACGGGGAGUUCUAUGGUUGUAUGUUCUUGAUGUUCAAGUAGUUUAUCAUGUUUUUGCUUUAAACUACACUUUGUACUUGAUGAGUAUAUAUGGUAGAAUUCAUUCAUCUUAUGAAAGGAUAUUGUGAAGGGGGUGGACUGUUUCUUUAUAAGACUACUUAGGAUUCCUGUUCUUUUUUUAAAACUUUAAAUGCUACUUCAUUACUUAUGAAUCCCUCUUUUUCCCACUCUAAUUUUGCUACUUCUUUACUACAGGUGAAUGCCCGUGAAGAUUCGAAUACUUUAUUUUUUAUACAAAUCAGCCCUUCUUAUAAAGACUAAUGUAGAACUCUUAGGAACUUAACAAAAAGAAUUAGUGAGAGAAAUUGAGAUUUCGACUUCGCCGCUCUGCCUUGUUCCAUCAAGGUAAUCACAUCGUAUGAAUUGACUGCGCUUAUCUGUACUACAAAGUUUCAUCUCCGGUCUUGAUUUGAACCUCUGAAUCUAGUUUUGAACAUUGAAGCUCUACAAUGCACUUAUUUCCAAGAGUGAAUGGGAAAAUUGGAUUUGCUGUGCCGAUUUUGUAAUGCAUAAGUUGUUCGACUUCUUCAGUAGUAUAUAUUUUGCUUUAUAUAAUGCAUUGGUAUAUUGCCAUGCUUUUGGCUAUUUUAAUGUGAACAUGUUUGACUGGUGAUAUACUAGACUGGUGGUAGUUCUUACGGUAGGGAAAUGUCACCAGAAAAUAACGAUAA